UGCGCAGGCGGCUUAUUAAGUCAGUGGUGAAAUCUCUCGGCUCAACCGAGAAACUGCCAUUGAAACUGAUAGCCUUGAGUGUAGUUGUAGUAGGCGGAAUAUAGCAUGUAGCGGUGAAAUGCUUAGAUAUGCUAUAGAACACCGAUCGCGAAGGCAGCUUACUAAACUAUUACUGACGCUCAUGCACGAAAGCGUGGGGAGCAAACAGGAUUAGAUACCCUGGUAGUCC
rnacentral:rRNA from 1 species